UACGUAGGGUGCGAGCGUUAAUCGGAAUUACUGGGCGUAAAGCGUGCGCAGGCGGUUGUGCAAGACAGAUGUGAAAUCCCCGGGCUUAACUUGGGAACUGCAUUUGUGACUGCACGGCUAGAGUGUGUCAGAGGGGGGUAGAAUUCCACGUGUAGCAGUGAAAUGCGUAGAUAUGUGGAGGAAUACCGAUGGCGAAGGCAGCCCCCUGGGAUAACACUGACGCUCAUGCACGAAAGCGUGGGGAGCAAACAGA
rnacentral:rRNA from 1 species